AAGAUUUUAGUUUAAAGCAAAAAAACAUUAACUUGUCAAGUUAAAAAUAUUUUAUAAAUAAAUUUUA
rnacentral:tRNA from 1 species